rnacentral:rRNA from 1 species
UACGUAGGGGGCAAGCGUUAUCCGGAUUUACUGGGUGUAAAGGGGGCGCAGACGGCGAUGCAAGCCAGGAGUGAAAGCCCGGGGCCCAACCCCGGGACUGCUCUUGGAACUGCGCGGCUGGAGUGCAGGAGGGGCAGGCGGAAUUCCUGGUGUAGCGGUGAAAUGCGUAGAUAUCAGGAGGAACACCGGUGUCGAAGGCGGCCUGCUGGACUGCGACUGACGUUGAGGCCCGAAAGCGUGGGGAGCAAACAGG